GGGGAAUAUUGGGCAAUGGACGCAAGUCUGACCCAGCAACGCCGCGUGAAGGAAGAAGGCUUUCGGGUUGUAAACUUCUUUGACAGGGGAAGAGUAGAAGACGGUACCCUGAAAACAAGCCACGGCUAACUACGUGCCAGCAGCCGCGGUAAUACGUAGGUGGCAAGCGUUGUCCGGAUUUACUGGGUGUAAAGGGCGUGUAGCCGGAGUUACAAGUCAGAUGUGAAAUCUCGGGGCUUAACCUCGAAACUGCAUUUGAAACUGUAGCCCUUGAGUAUCGGAGAGGUAACCGGAAUUCCUUGUGUAGCGGUGAAAUGCGUAGAUAUAAGGAAGAACAUCAGUGGCGAAGGCGGGUUACUGGACGACAACUGACGGUGAGGCGCGAAAGCGUGGGGAGCGAAC
rnacentral:rRNA from 1 species